rnacentral:rRNA from 1 species
UACGUAGGAGACGAGCGUUGUCCGGAGUUACUGGGCGUAAAGGGUGCGCAGGUGGCGGCGCGCGUGGGGGGUGAAAUCGCCCGGCUUAACUGGGCGGGGGCCUUCCAGACGGCGUGGCUUGAGCAGCGGAGGGGGACGUGGAAUUCCGGGUGGAGCGGUGAAAUGCGUAGAUAUCGGGAGGAACACCAGUGGCGAAGGCGACUACCUGGCCUGUUCUUGACGCUGAGGCGCGAAAGCUAGGGGAGCAAACGGG